AUUUUGUUAAGGUUGUAUUUUCUAUUGUGAUUGAAGUAUGAAGGAAGCCAGAAGUUGUACAAUCAUAUGUCUUUUGACACUUACAUUUGUAUUGUAAGAAAAACAUUGGUUUCUAAGGAUUUUUUUUAUAGAUUUUACAUAGUAUUGUCAGUAAAUUUAUGUGAUUGUUUAUUUAUGAUCUUGCCAGUUAAUCCAUAUAGAUGUACUUCUAUGCAGAUAUAUUUAACAAAACCUUAAGCUGAUGUAAACUUUUCUCAACUAGCUUGGUUUUUUAUUGUCAAUUUCUUAUUUGUUCACUGAUUGGUACAAUUUCAAAUUUCCCUCCAAUUAUCUCUUUGGAACUGUAAUAGCAGGACAAAUUUGACCAAGUUAUAUAACACCACUAACAGAUUAUUUUACAAACCACUAGAAAACAAGGUCACAUGAAGGUCAAACUUGCUCAUAGUUCUCAACAAACAUUGUACGUUGGCAUAUACUGGCUGUAUUUUUAUACAUUUAAUAUUGUAUAGUUUUACUAUAGAUAUUGGAGGACUUACAGAUGAUAGAUCAAAUUGUAAAUUUGUACAAAGAUAAAAAAAUCUUGACUAUUUCAAUAUUUCACAUUAAGUUAUCAUCUAUCCUUAUUUUCUCUAAGAAUAUUAGUUUAAUUGAACGUAGCUAAAUAAACCAUCACAAUAAUGAAGAUUAUUAUUUGAUCCUGAAGCCAUCAUCAUCAAUUAUCUAAUAUAAGUUUAUAUAAGAAUAUUUUUUUGAUAUAAAAGUAUCCAAAUUAUUCCUAAAUUAUUUACUGAUCAACAUGUGAAAAGGUCAUAGCUAGUGUUUUGAGGGACUUAUAGCUGGUGAUUUGAGGGACUAUAACAAUUUUGUUAUGUGUGUUGUAUUUUUUAUUAAACAUUUACAUUAUUAAGAUCUGAUUAUGUGUACAUAUAUGAAUUGGUUUCUGUCAUAUUGAAAAACAAUAUUUAUUGAAGUUUUUGUAUACUGUUGGUUAAAUAUAUAUAAGUACUAUUUUAUGUAAAUUAAUCGUAGAUAAGAGAGUGUGUUACUAAGCAAUAAUAGUCUGCAAUAACUGCUGAGUGUACAUAUAUAUUUGUAGAUAUAAUUUAUAUUUUUGAUACUUUUGUUUGUAAUAUAACUUGUUAACAUUUAAACCUAAAUCCAUUGCAUGGUUGAAGUAAUGGUGGGACUCCAUAUUAUCCUCAAUUUAACUAGUAUAAAUGUUCAACCUUAUUGGAAGCUUACAUUUUGAAGUUCAAAGGAUUUUGAUGUAAUAUUUUAUUUUCGAUACUUUAUUUAGGAUUGAUAUUCAAUAAUAUGUGAAUUGAAUGAAAAUUCAUCUAGAAAUAAAGAUAAAAGAACAUCAUUUUAUCAUUUUUUUUAUGUUUUAUGUUUUAUUAGCAUAAACUUUUUUAACAAGGCUACAUUUAUAAAGUCUGACAGUACAGUUUAUUUUGAGAAAUGAGAACACAUGUUAUCAUAACUUUUGGAUAUCCUGGGCAGUUGUAGUUUGGAAAUUUGAACACAUCAUUUAACUUGUGAGUAAAUGAACAAAUGAUUGUUUUCCUACAUGGAAUUUACAGAAUAAUAAAUAUAUGUAAUAUUUACAAAUAGAUUUUUGUUAUUUUUAUUGCAACAUAUUGUUAUUUUGGUUUACAUGAAAAGUUGACCAGUUCUGUGAAUGUAUGAUUUUAUCUAAAAACAGAUAGGUCAUGUAAGUGUUAUAACACCAAACAUAGUAAGUCACAUUUGGUUUCAUAUGAAAAAGGCUAAAAAAAAAAUAUUAACUUGAAUUUAUAUCCAGUGUAAUGUUAUGUGAAAUUUUCACUAUAGUACUGGAGAGGAUAAAUUUUAAUUAAUGCCAAGUGUUUU
rnacentral:lncRNA from 1 species